UAUUGGUGGGCGUGUUUUCAAGUUCCUUAUUAUGCUAUUACUACUAAAUAAUAUCAAUAGGAGGAUAUCAAAGUGUGACAUCUUAGUGUAUCUCAUUCUGGACUUGAAAGAGACAUUUCACAUACCAGGACUAUUGUAUGUUACCAAAAAAGGAUAAAACAAUGGCAGCAGACCUAACUUCUGGUUCAGUCCCACAUUUCUACAGGGACAUUUAUGACAUUUUAUGUCCAGACCAGCAAACACAACUGGACCAAGACAUGUUCAUCAAACUUCUGAUGAAGUCUAGUCUUCCAAAGGAAACACUUACACGGAUAUGGGAACUGGUGGAUUGUCAUCAUGGUUACCUAACUCGCUCAGGGGUUUACAAAGCCUUAGCUUUAAUUGCUGUAAGUCAACAAGGAAAGCCAGUCAAUGAUGUCGUGCUCCAGAACUUUGGUUGCCAAGAACUCCCUCGGCCUUCCCUGGGAGACUUGUCUGAUUUGAAGGCUUUGAGUGUUCGACUAAGAAGAGAGAAAAACCCUACAAGACUAAGCAUGUCCUACCGAGAAGUCUGUUCUAGGGACAUAAUCAAAGUUACUCUGAUACCCAAAAAGAAGGGACUCAUCUUGAAACAUGUAGAAUAUGAAGUAUCUAGUCAGAGAUUUAAUUCUGUUGUCCAGAGAAGAUACAAUGACUUUGUAGUUCUACAUGAAAUGUUGUUACACAGAUUUCCAUACAGAAUGAUACCUCAGCUGCCUCCAAAAAAACUUGUCAAAACAGCUGAUGCUCACUUUAUUGAAGAACGACGAAAAGCUCUGAAGAGGUUCUUGACACUAGUAGUUAGACAUCCAAAUAUUUCUGAGGACCCACUUAUUCAUUUCUUUCUUACAUUCUUAGGUAGGGAUGUCCAACAUAAUCUUAAGGAACAAUUUCGUUCUGCACCUGAUGAGUUUUCUACUAAUAGGCUAGCUCAAACAGUUGAAGAGUUGGAUCCCCUUGACACACCUACACAAUCCAGACUAGCUCGUGACCUGAUGAAACACGUACACUCCAGUGUCAGUAAGCUCAGAGAUGCUGCAGACAGUAUUAAAGAACAAACACUAGAGGGUGCUGUGGACAUGCUGACAUUUGGAAGAGAGUUGAGCUGGCUUGCCGACAUGGCCAAUACUGACUCAGAGUGGAGUUCAGGUGGAAAUGAAACAUGGAAUCAUUUGAAGAAAGGUUUUAAAUCCCUUCAUCCUAUGUUUCCUCCUAUUUCUAAUGCACUAGCUGAACAUUCGAAGCAGGAAGAUGAGGAUGUUGUUGAAAAGCUGAAUUUGUUCUUGGAUCUUCUAAGUGCAUACAAAGAGUUACAUGAUCGCUAUGACAAUAGCAUUAACAAAAUGAAGAGAAAGUCAUCAAGUGACCUGUCUGCUCCACAGGAGGGAGAACAACAGGAGAGGAGGAAACAUUUUGCACUCCACUGCAUCUCUAUGGAAACACAACUUGUUCAUUGUUACAUGAAUAUAGUUGGUGAGAUGUUACACUCCUUAAUAGAACUGGAGACAAUCAAACACUAUAAGAUAUACGAACUAUGGAAGAACAUGCACCCUAUGGUAGAGAAUAUGAAUUCUGCUGAUGUUGUGGAAGAAAGAUUAGGAUCAGCAUCUCCAACUGGAAACAAGAGUCCCUACUUUCCUUCCAAAUGAAAUCUAUGACAAGGGUUAUUAUGUAAAUUUAAGGUCACAGCAAAUUAUUAACAUAUAUUAUUAAUGGGGAUGUGACUUCUCCCUCUUUCUUCAGAAUUCUGACCUUGAGAUUCUUCAAAGUUGAGGGGGUAGGUCAUUCAUCAAUUAUUUUCUUAUUAAAUUGUAUUAUAUCAAUGGUCCCCAAUAGGUAGCCCAUGAAAGCAUGACUGGUGGUCUACACUAUGAUUAUAUAUUGCACUGUUAAUCAUUAUAAUACUCAAGAGUAAACAAACCUGUCAUUUCCAAAAAGCUCAGGCCAAGUCUGUAUAGACAUCUUCUGAAGUGUGGCCCAUUGGGGACCACUACAUUGGUAAUUAAAGAGUAAUUUUUUUUAAUAGUGGAAAACAAAUUGGAUUGAAUAAUAAUGAAAGAACCAAUAUAUUCUAUUGUAUUUGCUCCUGAACCACAGUGGGGUUUCAGCAUUUUCCACUCAUAACCCUAUAAACAAUAGAAGUACUUCAUGUCAUAUCAACUUCAAAAGUGAUCCAGAUUCUAGGAAGCAAAAACAGAAAUCUGACGGAAGAUAUACAGCUUAGAAAAGUGUAAGUCAAUCUUCAUAAACCAGACUGAAGCAAGGAUACACUACAGGUUAUAAGAAAUACAGGUUAAGUUUUGUAAUCCAGAUUGAAGAAACACAAAGACACUAUGGAUUAUAAAGGUUAUAAGUCAAGCUCUGUAAACCAGAUUGAUGCUCUUAGAUAGUUGAUUUUACCAACCAGCUCUAACAUUGAGCAGAGACAGAUUGGCUGAACAAUUUCUGUUAUUUCUCACUCAAUGCAGGUUAUUGAAUAGAGAAGUAAUCCCUGUGAAGCAACAUCAGUCACCCAGUGGGUUCCUGCAUUUUGUCUGUACUUGUUUUUUUAAUGAACAAUACCUCUUUAAAAGCUCUGGAAAGAUUAUAAGUUGUUGACUGGAAGGAAACAAAACCCAAAGGCUGAUGAAACCUCAAUGUGAUGUAAGUAACAUAACACGAAAAUGUCUCGGGUCAUCCAUGUCCCUAGCUUUAAGAUUUCAUCAAGAGAUGCCAAUGGCCAGAGGCAAAAGAAGCCAAGAGAUGAGAAACUUGAUGGGAAGCGAUAUUAAAAAUAUGUUUCACCUCCUGUGGAGAAAUGGGCAAGCUGAAUGAGUUGCUUAACUCAUCCAGUCAAAGUGGAAGGAUAUAAAUUUGAGAAUUAAAGAAAUCCCACUGCAGAAAAAGACAGUUUUGAUUGUUUCUAAAAGUAGCUGUUUGAGCAAAGUAACUUCGUACUGCUUCCACAGGACAAAGUAGUUGAUUGGAGUCUGAGCUAUCAUACAGAGAAAAAGUUAAAGGGAGGGUGAGUGAAGAAAACAUCUGAUCAACCUCCUGAGCAGUCCAAGUCUUGGGAAGUGUUCUAGAAAUAACUUUUACCUGUCCCCAUGAGAAAGAGUGCAGAAGGCAUCUAAAACAAGAAUAUCAAAGCAAUGUCUUCCAAAAAGUAAGAAAAGAACAUUUCUUAAGAGAAAGAUAAUAUAGAAGAAAGGACUAAACAGAGGUUCCAAUCCAAAGAGGACAAUGGAUUAUAAAGGCCCAAUAGAGGUGCAUAAGAACUGGAGAUAGGAAAGGAGAAUUGCUGGAAAAAAGUGGUAGAGACAAGCAGCAUUAGCUUAAUGUUCCAAAGUAUAAGAAACAUCUCCAAAAACCUCAUUACAAAAAAGGGUGCAACAUGAAGGUUCCUGAGAGAAAAGUGGUCGGAGGCCAAUGUCAGAAAAUAAGGCAUCCUAAUGAAGUACAUUAUACAUACUAGAAAUAAAGAAAAGUACAUGAAGUGGGAUAGGAUGGGUGAAGAAAAACAAAGCCAAAGUAUAAAACAGGUAUGUACAACUUUCCUCAGUAGGGUCAUAACAUACAACUUCUAAAAGAAGGUGAGGUGUGGACAUAUAACAAAGAAAUUGAGUAAGUAAAAGACGCGUUGAUGAAAAGGGAAGGAGAGAUAUAAAAGAGGAAAGCACUGUGCAGAAAGAACAGACUCGCGUGAUUGACAAGCAACAAGGUACCCUAACUAGACAAAGUGAAAGUAGAAGACACAUGUCUGGAUAACCCAAGAAGCGAUGGAAAAAAGAUGGGAUUACCUGAUCCUAGUCAGUGUCACAAGGUGACAUUAUGUUUUGUAAAUUUUGCAAUGUAACUUUAUUUGGUGAACAAGUUAUUAAAAUCAUUGUACUGUAUGUUCAUUAUCACAUUUGUUUAUAUGAUUUCUAAGGAAAUUUCCUGUGUUUGUUUAUAUGCAGUUAUUAUUAUGUUUGUAUUUACAGAACAAAGUUGGGUUUAUUCUUGUAUACAUAGAGUAAAAGGUUUGAGUAUUUAUUAUAAAUUUUUGCAUGGUACUCACAAGUGAGCAGUCUCCAAGAUGCAAGGUGUGGUGAGUCAUAUUUAUUUGUUGUAAGUAAUCAUUGGUUAUAAUUUGGUAAUGAGUCAAUGAGUGUGUGUGUGAGGAAAAUUAGUAUAUAUUGUGCUACAUUUAUUGGUGUAAGACAAGACUUGCAUGAUGCAGAGGGUUAUGGCCAUCCGGCAGCUAAGAAGUAAACUUGAAUAUGGGGAUUAUUAUUGUGAACAGCCAAUUAUUUAUAAUAUUUGUAUGGAAAAAUGGCACCACAAUGGUGAGUGGCAUAUUAUAUGAGAAAGGGAAUACAACUAUAUUGAACACUUGAACUGCUUCUUAAUUUCAUUAUUUUUAUAGUAGUCUGGUAAUAUAUCAAGAAAUUGAUGAUGAUUGUAAUGUAAUGGUAUUGUUCUGUCUGUGACAUGUGAGAAAGUACUAAAAUAUUACUGUCCCUUCUCAUGGAAAUAUUUGUCCUGGUGUAGAUGAUCUAUGCAGAACAGCACUUGGAGAGACUAGAGACAAUUACAAGAUUAACAGCUACAGAUAUGUGAAUUUUCUGGAGGGUAUUUGUGUAAAUUGGGUAACUUGCUGAGAAUUUCUUUAUUAGUUUGAUUUAGAUUUUGACAUUUAUUUUGUAAAUAUAUAACUUGCAAUAAAUUGUAAAAUUACA